UACGUAGGGUGCAAGCGUUUGUCCGGAAUUAUUGGGCGUAAAGAGCUCGUAGGCGGUCUGUCGCGUCGGCUGUGAAAUCCCGGAGCUCAACUCCGGGUCUGCAGUCGAUACGGGCAAACUGGAGUACUGCAGGGAGACUGGAAUUCCUGGUGUGGCGGUGAAAUGCGCAGAUAUCAGGAGGAACACCGGUGGCGAAGGCGGGUCUCUGGGCAGUAACUGACGCUGGAGGAGCGAAAGCGUGGGAGCGAACAGG
rnacentral:rRNA from 1 species